GGUGGCUCAGUGGAAGAGUGCUAGCCUUCCAAGCAUGAGGCCCUGGGUUCGAUUCCUCAGCACCA
rnacentral:tRNA from 1 species